GCACUCUCAGGCCACGAGGAGAGUCCCACGCCAGUCGGAGAAGACGGGGCGUUUAAUGGCGCUCCGUCACAUCACCAGUCUAACAAGUGGACUAGAGGUACAUGAAAUACUAGUUUACAAAUUUGUAAAAAUGUGUAAGAGAACAUUUUGUCUGGAUACAAAAAAGAAAGCACAACAGUCAAACGGUCCAGGACAGACAGAAAAUAUCUUGAAAGCGACCUCAAACACAGUCUAGCCACAUUUCAGGUAUGUGAAGUGUAUUUGAAACAGGAAAUUUUUCUGUUUUUGCAGUUUUCAGCCUCAGGCUCCCUUAAAGUUAAUGGUCCUGGACUAAACCAACCAGAGGAGGUCAGAGCAGAAGUUUGGAAAGUAUGUGACAAUGACAUUUUUUCUUUCCUGUUUUCUCUCGCAGUUGUCAAAGAGAUAUCCUGAGGUAGAUGUUCACUGUUGCUUUGUCUGAAGCUUUGUUUCAGAAAACAGUCACUGCAGUGGAGUUUUGAG